CGAAGAAAAUGGACGUAUUAUCGGGAUCGGGUCUGUCAAUGAUGUCCCGAGGGCAAGAGCUGAACACGCUGCAAGAAUGGAAGAAGAAUCUUCUCUCCGUAGGGAUUUGACUGCGGCCAAAGAAGUCAUAGCUGACCACAUGGACAAAUUUGCAUUUAUGGCAAAUAUGUUCGAUUUGAUGAUAGAGACAACCCCAAACAUCAACCCGGCUCUUGCCUCUAGGUGGCAGUCUCUACGUCCGAGCUUUGUCCCCGAGCCCACUCCGGAAGAGCAUGCAGAUUUAGAGCGACGUGCGGAUGAGCAUAGCUCCGGCCUCUUCGACGAAAUAAAACUUAACACUUAGUUUUUUCGGUUUUAGUUAAUUAGUAUUAUGAAUGUUUUAUAUUAUGGAUACUAUUAUGUUUCUGAAUGUUAGAUAUUUUCUUUUAAUUUUAUCAAAUUUUAAAAAUUAAAAUCAAAAUAAAUUUAAAUAUUUGAUUUUAAUUAAUAUAUUAAAUUCGUAAUGAAAUACAAAAUUCUAAAAUAAAUAAAUAAAAGGGUUAAUUUACGACCAAUGAACAUCUAACGUCGAUGUAAAGUCGUCGUUAUAUUACGACAAAUAAACAUCGACAUAGAAGCAAAUUGGUCGAAAGUUUACGACCUAUGUACAUCUAAUUUGCGAGACGUAAAUGUGCGUCACAUGUACCACUAAUACUUUUACGUUGAACUUACGACCAAAUUACUUAGUCGUACAUUUACGUCUGCUUUACGACUAAAGCCAUUAGUCGUAACUUUAUGACCAAUGUGACUCGAAUAAUUAUUUACGUCCAGUUUCUAACGAUCAAUCGUUUUUCGAAGCUUAUUGGUCGUAAAGCCUAUAUUACGACCAAUAAGGUACUAAUAUUGUAGUCGUUAAGGUCAUGUUUUCUUGUAGUGAUAAUGCUAUGUUUAUGAAAAAAUAAGUGUUCAAAAAAUUAAUUUAUUGGUGAUGUACAUUGUAAUUGAAAAAUAUCCUAUGUGAAGUAAAUUCUCUUAUGAAAAAAUAAGUGUUAAAAAAAAUUAAUUCAUUGGUGAUGUACAUUGUAAUUGAAAAAUAUCCUAUGUGAAGUAAAUUCUCCUUCGAGUUUAGUGUAAAAUAUGAUUGUACAAACAUGUGAGCAUUUACUGUGAAUCCUAAGACCAUGAUUAUUGCAGUUUCUUAAUAGGGUUUUUAAACAAAUUACAUCAUUUAAUUAAAUGAAAAUUAAAUGAAAUUAUAGUUACCGAUCCUUAAUCUGAGAUUUUUGGCACCGAUCCUUAGCUAUAGGAAGAGCACACGUGUCAGCACUUUGGGUAAACCUCAAAUAUAUAUAUUUUUUUCUCUUUUUCGGGACUUCUUCGUCUUCUCUUUGUUUUCUCCGACGGGGAUGGCAUUCAAUCAUCUUCUCUAAAUCUCCUCUCUGCUCCUUCGAAACAAUAAAGUACUCUUCGAUGGCGGAAGUAGAGAACAAAAGUCACGAGACCUGGAUUCCUCGCGUCGAAGCUGAAGGUCUUCCCCAGCGUUUCGCUUCAAGGAUCGUAGAGCUGAUUUUGCUGUUAAGGAAGUAGUAUCAAUGGGUAGUGAAAGUGAUUCGAUAUAAGAGAAAGCUGCUGCUCGUAAAGAGGCACUUAGAGCUCUGAGAGCAGCUCAGGUACUUUUUGAGAGCAAGGAAGAGGGAGAUGGUGAUGCUGCUGUUGAAGAAGACAAAAGAAGUAGCUCCCAAGAUAAAGAGCUUCAGGAUGGUAAAGUUGCACCACCGGGAGGGUCCUUGUUGUCUUAUAUACACUCUGCUCCACCUCUUAAGCUAAAACAAAAUGGAUGGGUUGGAAACUUUGAGCAUCAUGUACUUGCAGUUGGGAAUAGCGAUUGUUAAUGACUUCAAAAGUGUUGAAGGAGACAGAGCAAUGGGACUUCAGUCUCUCCCAGUAGCUUUUGGCACUGAGGCUGCAAAAUGGAUAUGCGUUAGUGUUAUAGACGCUACUCAGCUCUCUGUUGCUGGUAUGUAGUAUGACUUCUAUUUCUUGUGUUUGAUCUUAUGAACUAGAUGAUCAUUAGUGAAUGUCUAUUCUGGUUGCGGUGUAUCUUGUAGUGAAAGUAUUGUCUUUAAAACUCUUCUCCAAACAAGUGUAAAACAAAUUCUCUUCCUUCUCUACAUUUUCAUCACAAAAUUUAUACACAGAGUAAUCAAAAACAAAUUCUGG